rnacentral:rRNA from 1 species
UUCCUACGGGAGGCAGCAGUGAGGAAUAUUGGUCAAUGGGCGGGAGCCUGAACCAGCCAAGUCGCGUGAAGGAAGAAGGUACUUAGUAUUGUAAACUUCUUUUGUCGGGGAACAAAGGCGGAGACGCGUCUCCGGAUGAGUGUACCCGAAGAAAAAGCAUCGGCUAACUCCGUGCCAGCAGCCGCGGUAACACGGAGGAUGCGAGCGUUAUUCGGAUUUAUUGGGUUUAAAGGGUGCGCAGGCGGAGGUGCAAGUCAGCGGUCAAAUUGCGGGGCUCAACCCCGUACUGCCGUUGAAACUGCAUC